GAUGAACGCUGGCGGCGUGCCUAAUACAUGCAAGUCGAGCGAACGGACGAGAAGCUUGCUUCUCUGAUGUUAGCGGCGGACGGGUGAGUAACACGUGGAUAACCUACCUAUAAGACUGGGAUAACUUCGGGAAACCGGAGCUAAUACCGGAUAAUAUUUUGAACCGCAUGGUUCAAAAGUGGAAGACGGUCUUGCUGUCACUUAUAGAUGGAUCCGCGCUGCAUUAGCUAGUUGGUAAGGUAACGGCUUACCAAGGCAACGAUGCAUAGCCGACCUGAGAGGGUGAUCGGCCACACUGGAACUGAGACACGGUCCAGACUCCUACGGGAGGCAGCAGUAGGGAAUCUUCCGCAAUGGGCGAAAGCCUGACGGAGCAACGCCGCGUGAGUGAUGAAGGUCUUCGGAUCGUAAAACUCCGUUAUUAGGGAAGAACAUAUGUGUAAGUAACUGUGCACAUCUUGACGGUACCUAAUCAGAAAGCCACGGCUAACUACGUG
rnacentral:rRNA from 1 species